UCCCUGGUGGCCUAGUGGCUUAAGGAUCUGGCAUUAUCACUGCUAUGGCACAGGUUCGAUCCCUGGCCUGGGAA
rnacentral:tRNA from 1 species